rnacentral:rRNA from 1 species
CACCCAUGAGACGCAAGUAACCUGACUGGUGGGAUGGCUUGUGCCUGCACCAUCGACCGACCAUGAUCUUCUGUGAAAGGUUUGAGUACGAGCAUACCUGUUGGGACCCGAAAGAUGGUGAACUAUGCCUGAGCAGGGCGAAGCCAGAGGAAACUCUGGUGGAGGCUCGUAGAUGUGCUGACGUGCAAAUCGCUUUUCGGACUUGGGUAUAGGGGCGAAAGACUAAUCGAACCAUCUAGUAGCUGGUUCCCUCCGAAGUUUCCCCCAGGAUAGCUGGAGCUUGAUCAGUUUUAUCAGGUAAAGCGAAUGAUUAGAGGUACCGGGGAUGAAACAUCCUCGACCUAUUCUCAAACUUUAAAUAGGUAAGACGUCUGGGUUGCUUAAUUGAACCCAGGCAUUCAAUGAGAGCUCCAAGUGGGCCAUUUUUGGUAAGCAGAACUGGCGAUGCGGGAUGAACCGAAAGCUGAGUUAAGG